CAGCAGCCACGGUAAUACGGAGGGCGCGAGCGUUACCCGGAUUUACUGGGCGUAAAGGGCGUGUAGGCGGCCUGGGGCGUCCCAUGUGAAAGGCCACGGCUCAACCGUGGAGGAGCGUGGGAUACGCUCAGGCUAGAGGGUGGGAGAGGGUGGUGGAAUUCCCGGAGUAGCGGUGAAAUGCGCAGAUACCGGGAGGAACGCCGAUGGCGAAGGCAGCCACCUGGUCCACUUCUGACGCUGAGGCGCGAAAGCGUGGGGAGCAAACCGGAUUAGAUACCCGGGUAGUCCCUGUCUCUUAUAC
rnacentral:rRNA from 1 species